GAAGCGGGCCAGACAGUCGCUGGCUUGCGGGGUUUCCCCGCGGGCGGGAGGAAGGUCCGGACUCCACAGAGCAGGGUGACGGCUAACGGCCGUCCGCCGAAAGUCGCAAGAUAUAAGGCGCGGAACAGGGCCACAGAGACGAGCGUAUUUAGUUACGGUGAAACGCGGUAACCUCCACCCGGAGCAAUUCCAAAUAGGCACGCGAUGAUGCUGCUCGCGGAGCGUGCGGGUAGGAAGCUUGAGCCGUGGAGCAAUUCACGGCCUAGAGGAAUGACUGUCACGCCGGUCUUCGGACAGGCGCUACAGAAUCCGGCCUAUCGGCCCGCUUCAAUG
rnacentral:RNase_P_RNA from 1 species